AUUCCUUCUCGGUGGAGGGGCCUUGUUCCCCACAGGUGCUUCUGGGCCAUCCUCCUCCUGGCCCUGACCGUGUCCCUGCUGGCUGGCUUCCUGCACAAGGACGUCAGGCUGCUCAUGCCCCUACUCAAGGGCCAGGCUGAAGGGCCCCCCAUCACCAACGUCAUGUUCCUCAAGACGCACAAGACGGCCAGCAGCACGGUGCUCAACAUCCUCUUCCGCUUCGCCGAGACGCACAACCUGUCGGUGGCGCUGCCCGCGGGCCAGCGCGUCCACCUGGGCUACCCCUGGCUCUUCCUGGCGCGCUAUGUGGAGGGCGUCGAGGAGGGCGGCCCCGAGCAGCGCUUCAACAUCAUGUGCAACCACCUGAGGUUCAACCUGCCGGAGGUGCGGAAAGUCAUGCCCAACGACACUUUCUACUUUUCCAUCCUCAGAAACCCUGUCUUCCAGCUCGAGUCCUCCUUCAUCUAUUACAAGGGCUACGUCCCGGCCUUUAGGGACGUGGUCAGCCUGGAGGCCUUUCUGGCCUCCCCGGGGACCUACUACAACGAGAGCCAGGGCUUGCGCAACGCCUACGCCAGGAACGGCAUGUGGUUCGACCUGGGCUUCGACAACAACGCGCCUGCGGAGGACGCCUACGUGCGCGCGCGCCUGGCCGACGUGGAGCGGCGCUUCCAGCUGGUGCUCAUCGCCGAGCACUUCGACGAGUCCAUGGUGCUGCUGCGGCACCUGCUGCGCUGGCGGCUGGACGACGUCGUCUCCUUCCCGCUCAACUUGCGUAGCCCGGGCAGCGUCACCAGCCUGACGCCCGAGGGUCAGGAGCGCGCCAAGCGCUGGUGCGCCCUGGACUGGCGCCUCUACCAGCACUUCAACCGCACCUUCUGGGCGCGCCUGCGUACCGAGCUGGGCCCGCGGCGGCUGCGCUCUGAGGUGGCGCAGCUGCAGGCGCGGCAGCGCGAGCUCCAGGCCCUCUGCGUGCAGGACGGCGCCCCCAAGAACAAGUCGCAGAUCACCGACCUCAGGCUGCGUCCUUACCAGUCGGGCGAGGCCGACAUUCUGGGCUACAGCCUGAGGCCCGGCCUGGACAACCAGACGGUGCAGCUGUGUCAGAGGAUGGUCACGCCGGAACUCCAGUACACGGCCCGCCUGUACACGCAGCAGUUCCCAGAAAAGCCCCCCAAGAACAUACCCUUCCUGGGGGCGUAAUGGCCAUCGGUGCUGCCUCAGGCUCAGAGGGGGCUUCCCGGGGCAUCCAGGAGACCCAGGCCCCCCAGACCCCCCAGACCACAGGGCAAAUACGUCUGUGAAGGAACCCCCUGUGGUCUGUCCUCUUGGAGGCCUCCCUCUUUCGUGGGGGCCUCAAAUGCAGGACAACAGGCCCAGCUGGUCUGACGGCGUGAACCCGUUCAUUCCUCAAAUAGAAAAGUCUCACCGGGUAGGCAAGUUAGUUACAUGUCAGCACACUGUCCACCCAAAGACCAGGAGCCCAGGGAAUCGGGAGGGCCUGGGUCCCUGAUGAGCACGCGCUGGUCACCGAGUCCCGGUUUAGCACCCACAGGCAGCACUUUGAAGGUGGGCCUGGGGAGCAGGGACAGGGAGUGGGGUCUGGAACGUCCCGCUUCCCAUCUUUGGCUGUGUGAGGCGUGCUUCCAACCGAAAAACUUGAGAAAUCUUAGAAUUGCUUACGAGACAAAUGCUUCAGUCGGAACACAGGUCGAGGGUCAGGGCUGCAAUUCUGCUUUGGGGUAGCCCCCCUUCCCGAAUAUCCAGUGAAGGAGGAAGCCUGCUGGAGAGGAGGCUUCCAGGCAGCCCUCUUUGUGGUCUGUGGGGAGGGAGUGAGGAUGCCCUGCCUGGCAGGACGUGACCUCUGGCUGCUUAGGACGGGGUGCACACAUCCAGCUCCAUGUCCCUGUGCCCUUAGAAAAUUAGGCACCCGGAGCACCCAAGAAGCAGAGCCACUCUUCCACACUGAGCCGCCUGUCCACCUGGUGCGGGGUCCCCUUCGUUCCCUGUAGGCCCUCAUCUCUGAAGACCCCAGCACGUGCUCAAGGUGCUUCUCCGUCAGGGUGUGUCCUCACUUCUUAGGGGAAUCAGCCUCUCAAAAAAGGGAGACCCCCCCACACACCCACACACUGGAACAGGCAGCAGCUCCCUUGGGCAUCAACUUAAUGGAGGAGCUUCCAGUAGAAUGAAUUUUCAGUAAGAUUAGAGGACAUUUUGCAGUGAAUUUGAGAGGGAAAGAAUAUUUGGAAAGGGGAUAAAUGACUUCCAAAAAAAGCGGAAUAGGGAUAGUGAAGGAUAGAUGGACACGGAACCAGGGUCAGCUGGUGGACCCUCCAGAGGCUCCCCCAUCCUCUGCCGAGAGGAAAAUGCAAAGAAGGAACUUCCACGGGAGGGUGCAGAAGGGAAGGCAGAUCCAGGAUGAGCCGGCCCGCGAACGCUGGGUGUCCCUGAGAGUAAGGCCAUGGAUAAGUCCCACAGAGAAUGGGAGCGUUUACCUCCACUUAAAGGCGGAUGAAAUCUGUGCCCUGAACUUGGGCAGCUGCACCAAUCCCCGGAAAAAACAAGACAUCCACUCCCGCCCCGCCCCAGCCAGUGUGGGCAAGCAGAACGCGCUGCUGCUCGGCGGAGAGGGUGGGCACCGUCCACCACCCCGCCAGUGGGGCUGGGACCGCGGAUGUGGCGAGCAGCCGAGGACACGGAAUUACCAUAGAAAUCCAGCAGCAUUUGCGUUUGUCUUUGUGGCUGGCAGGAGUGUAAACCAGCUCUGUCUUUGUAGAGGAAAAUUUGUGGGUAUUUGUCACACCGCAAUAAAGCACAUGCGGUUUGUAACAGAGCUGUGGUUGUCCACCAGAAGGGGUGUUUAAAACGCUAAGUUCUAGGUGGCCAAGAAAGCUGGGAGUGACCUGUGCCUCUCCUUUGUGAUGCUUGGGUCAGGGCUGGUGAGCGGGGCCGCAAGUGACCAGGAUGGGGUGUGACUGUCCCAGCCAGCAGAGUCCAUGGGGGCGCGGGAAGCUGAGAGGGCAGACUGUGUAGUUUUCAAGAGAAGCUUUGUAAUACAGGUUUUUAUGUGAAACCUUCAUGUUUAAAAUGCUGGCAUCUAACUACAUCAUUAAA
rnacentral:lncRNA from 1 species